rnacentral:snRNA from 1 species
GGAUGUGAGGGCGAUCUGGCUGCGACAUCUGUCACCCCAUUGAUCGCCAGGGUUGAUUCUGCUGAUCUGGCUGGCCAGGCGGGUGUCCCCUUCCUCCCUCACUAUUCCAUGUCCGUCCCUCCCGAAGCUGCACCCUCAGUUGAAGAGGACGGCCUUCCCCGAAUAGAGACGGAGCGGUCUUCGGUCAAGGGUAUACUAGUAGCUGCGCUCCCCUGCUAGAACCUCCAAACAAGCUCUCAAGAAUAGGAAAGCUAUUAGGGGAGUUGUGUGAAGAUGUAUCACUCUUAUCCUAUGGUUUACUCAAUGUUUCCUUUUUAUA